rfam:Pan troglodytes isolate Yerkes chimp pedigree #C0471 (Clint) chromosome 2B, whole genome shotgun sequence.
GUCUAUGACCAUACCAUCCUGAACGCACCAGAUCUCAUCUGAUCUUGGAAGCUAAGUAUGGUCUGGCCUUGUUAGUACUUGGAUGGAAGAAGAAGUAAACUGCCUUGCCUGGACU